GUGUGUACACCCACUCCGGUUCCUGCGCGCCGUCCACGCCCACCUGACGACUGCUCGCGACGUCUUGGUAACC
rnacentral:sRNA from 1 species